rnacentral:ncRNA from 1 species
AUAUAAGCAAUGAGGAAGAGUAGUACUAAAUAGCUUAGUUUUUAGAGAGUUUGUGGUUGGUGUGAACAAACAGCUAACGUUUAGGAAUGGACUUCUGAGCUUCAUGACUGAAUUCAUUAGUAGGUUAUGACGUAUCCUUACGUUACAAGGCAAGUGAUUUCUGCAACAUUUUGUUGAUGAAAUAAUAAGGGUGGUACCACGGUCCAUUCGUCCCUUCU